GUCCACGCCCUAAACGAUGGGUACUAGACGUCGGGAAGCUUGUCUUCUUGGUGUCGCAGCUAACGCAAUAAGUACCACGCCUGGGGAGUACGGUCGCAAGAUUAAAACUCAAAGGAAUUGACGGGGGCCCGCACAAGCGGUGGAGCAUGUGGUUCAAUUCGAUGCAACGAGAAAACCUUACCUGCCCUUGACAUCUGGGGAAUCCUGCAGAGAUGCGGGAGUGCCGCAAGGAACCCCAAGACAGGUGCUGCAUGGCUGUCGU
rnacentral:rRNA from 1 species